rnacentral:rRNA from 1 species
GAUAGUUCCCUAGCAAACGUUAUGAGUAAUUAGAAUUUUGUAGGCAAACCAAUUUUGUAGGAUGAUGUUUAUUAGAGGGUAUCGGAUAAAUAGAGAAAGCGAUAGGAGAAGUACUGAGAAGGAAAGGUGAGAUAGCGUGGUAUUGAUAAAAGUAGACAAAGUGUCGUACCUUUUGUAUCAGGGUUCAUCAAUUAGAUUAGAGGAUUCUUUCAUCUCGAUACAAAGAGAGCUAUAAAAGUAAAUCAGUUACUGUGGCAACAUUAUUGACCAUACUUUUAUAGGAAUGAAACAUUAGCCGAUCUUUGUGGUAUCUAGUUUCUUAAGAAAUGGAUUUAAUCCAGGGGCCACGAGAAGGUGGGGCAAUGGCACCCACCUUUAAAUGGCCACCAAAUUGAAGGGGGAUAAGCUCCUUCAAGAUUUAUAGCACUUAACUUGAUGAGAAUAGGUAGGCUUGAAAGUAGCCACCCCUUUAAAGAUGUUACAGUUUAUUCUCUAAGGAUUGAAUUUUAAGGAGCUUAGAGAAAUAUUAAGAAAAUACUUUUAACUGGAAAGUAAGAGAUAAUGAUGGAAUAAGUAAUAGUUUCAGGAAAUAAAUUCCCAAUAAGGAACUCGGCAAAUUUAAUGCUCGCCUGUUUAUCAAAAACACCGCCUCUCGAUAUUUAUGGGAGGUCUAGCCUGCCCACUGAAGGAUAUAAAGGGCCGCGGUAUUUUGACCGUGCAAAGGUAGCAUAAUCAUUAGUCUUCUAAUUAAAGGCUGGAAUGAAUGGCUGGACGAGGUAUUAGCUGUCUCUUAGGGAUAAAUUUGAAUUUAACCUUCUAGUGAAAAGGCUGGAAUGAAAUUGGAGGACGAGAAGACCCUAUAGAGCUUUACACUUUCCUGUAUCUCAAUUCGUUUAGUAGGAGUCAAAUUUUGUGGAGGGAGUGUUUCGUUGGGGUGACGAGAAGAUAGGAUAAACUCUUCUUUAAACAAACCACAGAUGAGUGAUUUAAUUGAUCCAUUUUUAAUGAUUAAAAGACUAAGUUACCUUAGGGAUAACAGCGUAAUCUUUUUUGAGAGUUCUAAUCGACAAGAAGGGUUGCGACCUCGAUGUUGGACUAAGGAUUAUUCUUGGGUGCAGAAGUUCAAGGUUUAGGUCUGUUCGACCUUUGAAUCCUUACAUGAUCUGAGUUCAGACCGGCGUAAGCCAGGUCGGUUUCUAUCCUCAAUUACAGGAAAUAUUUUAGUACGAAAGGACCAAAUAUUAGAGAUAAUCUCGAGUUGAGAAUACUAUU